UACGUAGGCGGAAAAUUUAGUCAGUGGUGAAAUCCCGCAGCUUAACUGUGGAACUGUCAUUGAUACUGGUUUUCUUGAAUUUAGUUGAGGUAGGCGGAAUGUGUAAUGUAGCGGUGAAAUGCUUAGAUAUUACACAGUACACCGAUUGCGAAGGCAGCUUACUAAGCUAUGAUUGACGCUGAGGUACGAAAGCGUGGGGAGCGAACAGGAUUAGAUACCCUGGUAGUCC
rnacentral:rRNA from 1 species